rnacentral:rRNA from 1 species
GACGAACGCUGGCGGCGUGCUUAACACAUGCAAGUCGAACGAGUGGCGGACGGGUGAGUAAUGUCUGGGAAACUGCCCGAUGGAGGGGGCUAACUACUGGAAACGGUAGCUACUACCGCAUACCAUCGGAUGUGCCCAGAUGGGAUUAGCUAGUAGGUGGGGUAACGGCUCACCUAGGCGACGAUCCCUAGCUGGUCUGAGAGGAUGACCAGCCACACUGGAACUGGGACACGGGCCAGCAUCCGACGGGAGGCAGCGGCGGGGAAUAUUGCACAAUGGGCGCGAGCCUGAUACAGCCAUGCCGCGUGUAUGAAGAAGGCCUUCGGGUUGUAAAGUACGUUCAGCGAGGAGGCGUUACUCGCAGAAGAAGCACCGGCUAACUCCGUGCCAGCCGCCGCGGUAAUAC